GGACAGGGGACAGGUGGGUGUGGGGUGGACAGGGGACAGGUGGGUGUGGACAGGGGACAGGUGGGUGUGGACAGGGGACAGGUGGGUGUGGACAGGGGACAGGUGGGUGUGGACAGGGGACAGGUGGGUGUGGCGUGGACAGGGGACAGGUGAGUGUGGG